rnacentral:tRNA from 2 species
CGGGCAGUAGCGCAGUUGGUAGCGUACCAGUAUGGGGUGCUGGGGGUCAGGAGUUCAAGUCUCCUCUGCCCGA